GAAGUCCAAGCUCAAACUCAUAAUGUAGGACGUGUGUGAAAGUUUGACACAUUUCGAUUGAAGAUUGCUCUUCACAGCAAGGCCAAAAUAUCUUAAGAUUUGAAUUGUGUAAUCAAUGUUUUGAUGUGGUGUUAACCAGGAAAAUCAGAUGUUGACUGAGGGUGUAAACCAAACCAAUAUUAUAAUAUAUGUCACAUUAAUUUGUAAUGUAUUUUAUUUUAUUUAACAACAACAGACACCAUUUACUAUACAUCUCUACAUGCUGAUGAAUCAUAAAAUGUGAUUUCCUAUUAAGCUCUCAACAUUUUCUCAUAUCAUGUUCACUUUUCUGAAUUUUUAUCAGAAGAUAAUAUAGAAAUAAUCUUGUUACAAUAUCCAAUACACUCUAUUCAAAGUAGUUGAGAUUAUCUUGUCAUUUCUGAGAAGGGUAAAAUAAAGUAAUUACUUACAACCUUUGUACAAAGGUGUACACAACUAUAGUUGUUGUAAAAUCCUCCAUAAACUAGAAAAGGAACAAGUUAAUUUGUUUCUUCGGAGAAGUUGUUCCUUAGUGUUUAUGCAGUUAACAGGUAGUUAGUAUAUUUAAUUAUCUCAAAGCUAUAUGACUCUUGAAUUCCUAUUUCAGUACACAUAGUACCACCCCACUAACCAUUUAAUAUAAGCUUUUCCAUUGAAUGAAGAAUCUAUUCCAUGAUAUUUGCCUAUUUCAACUGGCAAUGAAAGCUAUAGUGUGCAUAUCUUACAAUUCUAGCUGGUAAGUUAAAUACAAAUUCUUAUCAAGUUUUAAGGUGUGGAUUUCCUAUACAGUUAGAAAAUAUAAAGAUUUGUAUAUGAACAUUCAGAGGUAUUAUGCAAUGAUACAAUUUUAUCUUAAUGUGUGCUCUGCCUGCCACUGGACUGAUUAAGAAUUUGUCGUAAUCUUAUGGCUGUGUAACCAUAGGCAACCUCACUUUUGCGUUCAAAUGCCAUGCCCAUAUUAUUACCUUUCCAAACACCUGCUUGGUUACAUCAUGUGUGAAACCAGUGACCUCCAGUAGUUUUUAUUUGAACUACAUCAACACAAUAGUUCUGUUUGAUUGCUACUACACUCUGGUGGCCGACUGAGGAACUAUCACGCAAAGUGCAUGGUAAAGUUUUAAAAGGAACAUUUUUGCUUUCUAGUUCUUAAAGUGCAUUUUCAAGUUACUAACACAAGUCUUGUAUUUUAUAUUUUGAUUGUGCUUCAGUCAAUAUAAUAAGAACUAAUUUUAUAAAAAUGAUAAUUACAUUGUAUCACGUUUAGGAUUGCCUGAAUGCAUAUUUCUGAGUUGGUCAUUCAGGAGUGUGACUUCUUUGAAGGUGAUGCAGAUGUAAAUUAUCAUCUAAGGCUGACAAGUCUGGUAAUUUGGUAAAUGAAGGUAUUGCUGAAGUUGAUAUUCGUGGGCAAGAAACACACCACAUAUGCACUAACUAUGGAGUGGCUCUGUGAGCAACACUGCUUCACCAUCCACCUCUCACUCAAAAACUACUAAAAGAAGUACACUUUGUUGUGAAUAGUAAUAUAAUGUAUUUUUAGUUUAUAGGAAAUUUCUAUUUCAUCGUUACAAUAUUUCAAAAUA